rnacentral:rRNA from 1 species
UACGUAGGUGGCAAGCGUUGUCCGGAUUUAUUGGGCGUAAAGCGCGCGCAGGCGGUCCUUUAAGUCUGAUGUGAAAUCUUGCGGCUCAACCGCAAGCGGUCAUUGGAAACUGGGGGACCUGAGUACAGAAGAGGAAAGUGGAAUUCCACGUGUAGCGGUGAAAUGCGUAGAGAUGUGGAGGAACACCAGUGGCGAAGGCGACUUUCUGGUCUGUAACUGACGCUGAGGCGCGAAAGCGUGGGGAGCAAACAGG